rnacentral:piRNA from 1 species
UAACCUCAGCGGGGACAGAAGUG